CCUACGGGAGACAGCAGUGAGGAAUAUUGGUCAAUGGGCGCGAGCCUGAACCAGCCAAGUAGCGUGAAGGAUGACUGCCCUACGGGUUGUAAACUUCUUUUAUAAAGGAAUAAAGUGAGGCCCGUGUGCCUUUUUGUCUGUACUUUAUGAAUAAGGAUCGGCUAACUCCGUGCCAGCAGCCGCGGUAAUACGGAGGAUCCGAGCGUUAGCCGGAUUUAUUGGGUUUAAAGGGAGCGUAGAUGGGUUGUUAAGUAAGUUGUGAAAGUUUGCGGCUCAACCGGAAAAGUGCAAUUGAUACUGUCAGCCUUGAGUACAGUUGAGGUAGGCGGAAUUCGUGGUGUAGCGGUGAAAUGCUUAGAUAUCACGAAGAACUCAGAUUGCGAAGGCAGCCUACUAAACUGCCACUGACAUUGAUGCUCGAAAGUGUGGGUAUCAAACAGGAUGAGAGACCCGAGUAGUC
rnacentral:rRNA from 1 species